AAUGUAGAAUAAAGAUGCCGGAUAUGUCGAAAAGCAACUGUUGAAUAUAGCGGAUGCGAUCGAUUUACUCCCGCGUCUUGCUAGCAGGAUUGAUGUGAAUAUCAAAUUCAGGAGAACAGAUGAUUUCGAGUUCACUUCCGAGUGUGCCAUAUUCGAUCUGCUUGACAUUCCUCUCUAUCAUGGUUGGAUAGUUGAUCCCCAGGACUAUGAAACUGCUUGUGCCAUCGGGUCGAAAUCCUAUAAUGCGAUCAUGGAAAAGCUUGUUGCUUUGGAAGCACGGAAUAUGGAGGCUUCACAUAAAAAUAAGCCCGGAGAUUGUGUGGAUUUUGCUGCUGCAACAACUGCCACUCUGGGAGUUCCCUCUCCUGGCCUCUUGAAAUCCAAAUCUUUUGACGAUUCUCCUCGUUCUGUUUCUGAUCGGAAAUUAAGAAAAGGGGAUCUCGAUGAGGAAGCAGAGUUAUUGAGAGUCGUGAAAUUAUCGGAGGCUGACUCACAAACCUUAGUUGGUGUUG